GAUGAACGCUGGCGGCGUGCCUAAUACAUGCAAGUCGAGCGAACAGAUGAGGAGCUUGCUCCUCUGACGUUAGCGGCGGACGGGUGAGUAACACGUGGAUAACCUACCUAUAAGACUGGGAUAACUUCGGGAAACCGGAGCUAAUACCGGAUAAUAUAUUGAACCGCAUGGUUCAAUAGUGAAAGACGGUUUUGCUGUCACUUAUAGAUGGAUCCGCGCCGCAUUAGCUAGUUGGUAAGGUAACGGCUUACCAAGGCAACGAUGCGUAGCCGACCUGAGAGGGUGAUCGGCCACCCUGGAACUGAGACACGGUCCAGACUCCUACGGGAGGCAGCAGUAGGGAAUCUUCCGCAAUGGGCGAAAGCCUGACGGAGCAACGCCGCGUGAGUGAUGAAGGUCUUCGGAUCGUAAAACUCUGUUAUUAGGGAAGAACAAAUGUGUAAGUAACUAUGCACGUCUGGACGGUACCUAAUCAGAAGGCCACGGCUAACUACGU
rnacentral:rRNA from 1 species